rnacentral:rRNA from 1 species
AGUCGAACGCUUCUUUUUCCACCGGAGCUUGCUCCACCGGAAAAAGAGGAGUGGCGAACGGGUGAGUAACACGUGGGUAACCUGCCCAUCAGAAGGGGAUAACACUUGGAAACAGGUGCUAAUACCGUAUAACAAUCAAAACCGCAUGGUUUUGAUUUGAAAGGCGCUUUCGGGUGUCGCUGAUGGAUGGACCCGCGGUGCAUUAGCUAGUUGGUGAGGUAACGGCUCACCAAGGCCACGAUGCAUAGCCGACCUGAGAGGGUGAUCGGCCACAUUGGGACUGAGACACGGCCCAAACUCCUACGGGAGGCAGCAGUAGGGAAUCUUCGGCAAUGGACGAAAGUCUGACCGAGCAACGCCGCGUGAGUGAAGAAGGUUUUCGGAUCGUAAAACUCUGUUGUUAGAGAAGAACAAGGAUGAGAGUAACUGUUCAUCCCUUGACGGUAUCUAACCAGAAAGCCACGGCUAACUACGUGCCAGCAGCCGCGGUAAUACGUAGGUGGCAAGCGUUGUCCGGAUUUAUUGGGCGUAAAGCGAGCGCAGGCGGUUUCUUAAGUCUGAUGUGAAAGCCCCCGGCUCAACCGGGGAGGGUCAUUGGAAACUGGGAGACUUGAGUGCAGAAGAGGAGAGUGGAAUUCCAUGUGUAGCGGUGAAAUGCGUAGAUAUAUGGAGGAACACCAGUGGCGAAGGCGGCUCUCUGGUCUGUAACUGACGCUGAGGCUCGAAAGCGUGGGGAGCAAACAGGAUUAGAUACCCUGGUAGUCCACGCCGU